GUCCUGGCCCUAAACGAUGGGUACUAGAUAGCGGACUAGACAUGGGUUCGCUGUCGAAGCCAAAGUGCUAAGUACCCCGCCUGGGGAGUAUGGUCGCAAGGCUGAAACUCAAAGGAAUUGACGGGGGCUCACACAAGCGGUGGAGCAUGUGGCUUAAUUCGAGGCUACGCGAAGAACCUUAUCCUGGGCUUGACAUGUGCGAAAGCGUCAGGAAGUAGGGGGCGGAAACGUCCCCCAACGGUAUCCAGUCCGGAACCUGAUACAGGUGCUGCAUGGCUGUCGU
rnacentral:rRNA from 1 species